rnacentral:rRNA from 1 species
GACGAACGCUGGCGGCGUGCUUAACACAUGCAAGUCGAACGGAAAGGCCCUGCCUUUGUGGGGUGCUCGAGUGGCGAACGAGUGAGUAACACGUGAGUAACCUGCCCUUGACUUUGGGAUAACUUCAGGAAACUGGGGCUAAUACCGGAUAGGAGCUCCUGCUGCAUGGUGGGGGUUGGAAAGUUUCGGCGGUUGGGGAUGGACUCGCGGCUUAUCAGCUUGUUGGUGGGGUAGUGGCUUACCAAGGCUUUGACGGGUAGCCGGCCUGAGAGGGUGACCGGCCACAUUGGGACUGAGAUACGGCCCAGACUCCUACGGGAGGCAGCAGUGGUGAAUAUUGCACAAUGGGCGGAAGCCUGAUGCAGCAACGCCGCGUGCGGGAUGACGGCCUUCGGGUUGUAAACCGCUUUCGCCUGUGACGAAGCGUGAGUGACGGUAAUGGGUAAAGAAGCACCGGCUAACUACGUG